AUGUUUUUUUACAGACAUACAAAGAGUCCAAUAUCUAAAAAACUAAAGGAUGCAAGACUACCUACAAUAGCUGAAGCUGAGGAGGAAGAUGAGGUCCAUUCAUUCAGCAUCUCACAAACGCCUAGGGUUGCCAAGUUUUCUCCUAAACUUCAAGUCUCCAAAAUAUACCUGAAAAAGAAUCUACUUGAAUAUAAACUCCUUGCUUCUGAAAUACUGCAUGAACUUGGAGAGAUAUUGCAGAAAUAUGCAGAGUGUAACCGUAUAUACCCUGCAGGAAUUGUAAAUCUUAUGAAUUACAGUUGGCAUGAUCUUAUUGAAGGUGCUUAUGAGUGUGCAACCAAAAAUUCAAUCAAAAACAGUGCCUUGCAAGGAGAUCCCAAAGCGACCCAAAUCAGCAGCUAUUCAAGGGAGGAAUAUCAUAAGGAAAAUCAUCUUGUGAAAGUAAAGAAAGACCACCAUGUUCCAUCUGGUUGGAUCUUUCAACAUCCUCAUUCAAAAAUGGAAAUUCUGAAAUGGAAGACAAUCCUCAGUACUGCUGUGAAAAGACUACAAGAAGCCAUCAUUCAAAUGUAG
rnacentral:lncRNA from 12 species